UCCGGUUGAUCCCGCCGGAGGCUACCGCUAUUGGAGUUCGAUUAAGCCAUGCGAGUCGAGAGUCUUAGGGACUCGGCGUACCGCUCAGUAACACGUGGGUAACCUGCCCUAUGCUGGGGAAUAACCUCGGGAAACUGAGAAUAAUGCCCCAUAGUCCACCAUGCCUGGAACGGUUGGUGGAUCAAAGCUCCGGCGGCAUAGGAUGGGCCUGCGGCGUAUCAGGUCGUAGGGGGUGUAACGUACCCUCUAGCCAUCGACGCGUACGGGUGUUGGGAGACAUAGCCCGGAGAUGGAUUCUGAGACACGAAUCCAGACCCUACGGGGUGCAGCAGGCGCGAAAACUUGGCAAUGCGAGAAAUCGUGACCAGGGAACUCCAAGUGGCUGGGGUAAGACCCAGUCUUUUCUUGACUCUUCAACGGUCUUGGAAUAAGGGGUGGGUAAGGACGGUGCCAGCCGCCGCGGUAAUACCGGCGCCUCAAGUGGUAGUCGAUUUUAUUGGGCCUAAAACGUCCGUAGCCUGUUUGGUACAUUCGUGGGUAAAUCAACCAGCUCAACUGAUUGAAUUCUGCGAGCACGGCCAGACUUGGGACCGGGAGAGGUGUGGGGUACG
rnacentral:rRNA from 1 species